rnacentral:lncRNA from 1 species
GGGGGACAGGCAGCUCCUCUAUCCUGCUGUGCUUUGGUUUUCUUUCUGCUAAUCCUCUAUUUCAGGUAAAUAUAAUGAAGAUAAUAACAUAUUGCAAAUGAGACACCAAUUCAGAACAUUUCGUGGUAUUUCCUUUGGAAGUAUUGGCUCAACAGAGACUAUAAUUACUGGAAAGCAGAAAUGUAAAGCUGUCACACAAACUGAAGUGUUUCCACCAUUUCUCGGAGGCAUUUAAUCAAUUCAGCCAAAGCAAUCAACAAAACAGUGUGUUGUUCUACAUUCCAAAUUGCCUAACAACUGACGACUGACUGGGUUUCUUCCGAUCUAAUUGACUGGAUGUCACACGGCUGUGGUGACACAGACCAGCACGCCCAGAGGCUCUUAAGGGGGAAGAAGCGUUUCAAAGCCUGGAUCCUAAAGAAGGCUGAUAAAAGCCGGGCAAGACAGAACUUGGAGAUUACCUCAAGGAGGACUCCAGAUUUAAAACCUGCUAAAGGAAGACACCCAAUUACGUCAAGCUGCCUGCGCCCAGCUGCUAUGAGAACAAUUCAGUUCUGAAGGAGAGAGGGCAUGAAGUUGGGGCUGUCGGCAUGGCAACUGCAGAUGACGUCUUAUCCCUUCAUAUCCCAUAAUAAGUGGGUGCCAUCCAGCCUCUCCUUGAGCUCCUCUGACUCAAAUUCAUGCAUUGUUAAAAACUCAUUAAAACGCACUGAAUCAGAGCACUGCAGACAACAAAAAUAGAGGCAGUUUUGGACGCCAAGCCAAAUAAUUUUGGCUUUUCUUCCCAAUGUGCAUGUAAACACACUGUCAGACACCCAUGCGUGCAGAUGGAAACUAUUCACAAAGGGGCUGAUGCCUGAGGUUCUCAGAGCAGUCACGACAGCGGAGAGUUGACUCACCAACGUGUCGUCUGCGGGGGCUCGUGUCACCUCAGCCGACACUCCACUUCACGUCGUCCACCGCCAGACAUGGAACUCUGUGUAAAUUACAGUCAUUCAACCUGGGGCUUUCCAAGCAGAAAUCUUAAGCCUUUCCCAUGUCCUGCCUCUUCUUUCUCCAUGAGAAAAGGAGAGAAAGACGUAGAAUAAUUGUCCAGAAAGCUUGGAGUUUCUUACAGAUCCAGUGGGAGAAACGCCAAGAAGACGCCACAAUUCCAGUGAAGGAACUGGGAGUCUUCCGAAGUUGUGACAGAGUAACACUCACCAAAUCCAGUGCCGAGGCAAAUUUUCCUGGGAUAUUGGAGCUUGUAAUUUGAAGAACUGGUCUUGUUAUCCGUUCAUACAAUAAAUACGUCCUAAGUGUCACCU